UAUUUCUCUAUGAAAAGAACCAUUCGUUAUUGACUUCUGAUCAUUAAUUGGAUGAAUAUUGAAAAUACAGAUAAUGAUACAUGGUAAAGCAGUGUCUUAUAGAUGGGUGCAAUAAAAGUUAGUCAAUGUAUUGUUUCACUCAACUGUUAUACAUUUGAACAAUCACUGCUUGCUUCACUCUACUUUCUUUUUUCCUUAUUUCACGCUACGAAAAAAAGCUGCUGUAUUGAAACCCA
rnacentral:lncRNA from 1 species